rnacentral:rRNA from 1 species
AUUGAACGCUGGCGGCAGGCCUAACACAUGCAAGUCGAGCGGAUGACGGGAGCUUGCUCCCGGAUUCAGCGGCGGACGGGUGAGUAAUGCUUAGGAAUCUGCCUGGUAGUGGGGGACAACGUUUCGAAAGGAACGCUAAUACCGCAUACGUCCUACGGGAGAAAGCAGGGGACCUUCGGGCCUUGCGCUAUCAGAUGAGCCUAGGUCGGAUUAGCUAGUUGGUGAGGUAAUGGCUCACCAAGGCGACGACCCGUAACUGGUCUGAGAGGAUGAUCAGUCACACUGGAACUGAGACACGGUCCAGACUCCUACGGGAGGCAGCAGUGGGGAAUAUUGGACAAUGGGCGAAAGCCUGAUCCAGCCAUGCCGCGUGUGUGAAGAAGGUCUUCGGAUUGUAAAGCACUUUAAGUUGGGAGGAAGGGCAGUAAGCGAAUACCUUGCUGUUUUGACGUUACCGACAGAAUAAGCACCGGCUAACUCUGUGCCAGCCGCCGCAGUAACAC